UUUGCGACCUCUUCCUGAUAUUCAAAUAAAGGUAUUAUCAAAAUUGAAAGAAGGACCAUAAUAUUUUUUCCUCCAACAUUCCCUCGAUGAAGCAAUAUAUUUCUCAAAAUCAAAACUCAAUAUUAUUUUGUAACUGAACCCCAAAAGUAGAAUAUGAAUGAUGAAUGCAUGACGAUGAAAAGCUUGUAGAAGCUGUGAAUAUAGAACUAAUAAUAUAAUUUUUACUUUGAGUUGAUAGAUCAUUUGACUAUGUGAUUGAAUAGUAUAAAUUUUUCUGUCCAAAUUUAUAGAGUCAUAUAACGAAUAUGAAAAGGUCAUGAUAUUACUUCCAUGGAAGAUGAGAGCAAUUAAACAUUUUAAUUGAACUAAUUAUAGGUUAUAACUAAGAAAUUGAAACUUUCAAUAAAUGUGGGAAUAUGGAACAACUUUCUACAAUCAAAUUCAAUGUAUAUUGUUUAGAAGUCUAUUAAUUUAAUUUUAAAAGCUAAAGAAAAACAUAUUUUUAUUUCCAACUUUUGAUGAGUAUGAUUAAUAUAUAUAUUAAAUGUAAUUCUCUUUUAAACGUUUCAACUUUUAAAUUAAGAGUAUAUAAUAAUUUAGAAAUUUAUUUACUAAUAUUUAAUUAAUUAGAUUAUGAUUUAAUGUAAGGGAAAAAUAGUAAUCUAACUUUUGCCUAAAAUUCUUCCCACUUAUAGUAUAAUAUGAU
rnacentral:lncRNA from 1 species